rnacentral:misc_RNA from 1 species
GAUGAAGAACGUAGCGAAAUGCGAUAAGUAAUGUGAAUUGCAGAAUUCAGUGAAUCAUCGAAUCUUUGAACGCACCUUGCGCUCCUUGGUAUUCCGAGGAGCAUGCCUGUUUGAGUGUCAUGAAAUUCUCAACCUUUUCAGCUUUCUUUGUUGAUCAGGCUUGGAUGUGGGAGUAUGCGGGCUUCUCAGAAGUCGGCUCUCCUGAAAUGCAUUAGCGGGACCUUUGUUGCCUGGCUUUGGUGUGAUAAUUAUCUACGCCAUUGUAGUCAAGCAGCUUAAAAUGAGGUUUCAGCUUCUAACCGUCUCCCCUGAGACAACUUUUUGACAAUUUGACCGCAAAUCAGGUAGGACUACCCGCUGAACUUAAGCAUAUCAAUAAGCGGAGGA